UAUGGGGGGAGCAAGCGUUGUUCGGAUUUACUGGGCGUAAAGGGCGCGUAGGCGGCCACCGCAAGUCGGUUGUGAAAUCUCCGGGCUUAACCCGGAAAGGUCAAUCGAUACUGCGGGGCUAGAGUGCAGAAGGGGCAACUGGAAUUCUCGGUGUAGCGGUGAAAUGCGUAGAUAUCGAGAGGAACACCUGCGGCGAAGGCGGGUUGCUGGGCUGACACUGACGCUGAAGCGCGAAAGCUAGGGGAGCGAACGGG
rnacentral:rRNA from 1 species